UACAGGGGGGGCAAGCGUUGUUCGGAAUUACUGGGCGUAAAGCGUGCGCAGGCGGUGAGUUAAGUCUGAUGUGAAAGCCCCGGGCUCAACCUGGGAAUGGCAUUGGAAACUGGCUCGCUGGAGUGUGGCAGAGGGGGGUGGAAUUCCGCGUGUAGCAGUGAAAUGCGUAGAUAUGCGGAGGAACACCGAUGGCGAAGGCAAUCCCCUGGGCCUGCACUGACGCUCAUGCACGAAAGCGUGGGGAGCAAACAGG
rnacentral:rRNA from 1 species